rnacentral:rRNA from 1 species
UGGGGAAUUUUCCGCAAUGGGCGCAAGCCUGACGGAGCGACGCCGCGUGGAGGAAGAAGUCUUUCGGGAUGUAAACUCCUUUCAGCAGGGACGAAACAAAUGACGGUACCUGCAGAAGAAGCAUCGGCUAACUACGUGCCAGCAGCCGCGGUAAUACGUAGGAUGCAAGCGUUGUUCGGAAUUACUGGGCGUAAAGAGUACGUAGGCGGUAAAAUAAGUCUGCUAUUAAAGACCGGGGCUUAACUUCGGGAGUGUAGUGGAAACUGUUUUGCUAGAGGACAAUAGAGGAAGUCGGAAUUCUCAGUGUAGCGGUGAAAUGCGUAGAUAUUGGGAAGAACACCAGUGGCGAAAGCGGACUUCUGGGUUGUUACUGACGCUGAGGUACGAAAGCGUGGGGAGCAAACGG